UCUCUUCUCCAACGGUUAGAAGCGGGCCGCGGCGGCCGCCGAUAUCCGCGGCCGCCACCCAGGCUCUCCGCCGCGGCCGGAGAGAGUCGGAGGUUUUUGGGCUGUAGGCGAAGGCCUCGUGAGUGGUGCAGCAGAUGGGCACGAACGAGCACCUCUGCCUCCGAGGACGCUACGCUACCAUCCCGGCGCUUCUCGUCUCCGAGGAGCUCCUCCUCGCGCCGGGCAGCGACGCCGCCACACCUCUUCUCACAGGUGUUUUCUUGAGUCACGAAGGGAAGUGUUUGUCUUAAAUGUGUUUAUACUGUGUAGUGAGGUGCUGCUAGACCUGCAUCUUGAGAAGGUGGAUGUGUCGUCUUUCAGGUUUUGCCAUGUUCCAUUAUCACUGUCAUUAAUAUUUCUUCUGAAGUAUUGUUAUCCUGUGUCUACUUGUUGCAAUACCUUUCAUCGUCGGAGUUGAGGAAGAGCAAUGCUUGGUCCUUGCAGGAAAAUAUGAUGAGCUGAAAAUUACUCUGCAAGAUGUAGGUCUUCUUGCUCUGAUUUACUCUGUGACUCCAAUAUAACCAACACAAAGUUUGAUGAACGAACAUAGACAACAUGCAACUUUAUUAUUUAUAUUUAUUGUUUGUUGUCUGAGAAUUCUGUAGAACAUUGUAUGGAACAAAAAUGUGUGUGUGUUGCUAGCAUGAAAGGAAGAUUUAAUUUUUCCUGAGAAA